AUUGCAACAAGAUUUAUGCCUGCACCCUUCUUCUCCCUCAAUUUAAUAUAUGAGCGAGAAAGCUUUGGUUCUCAUGCAUUUUUUUUUCCUACUUCAAUACCUAAUCCUUUGGAUGAUUACAAUGUCAGAAUUUUUUCUUAUUUGUUUCUUUAAGGUCAUCGAAUGCCCAGUAUUUGGCUGUGUCUUCUCAAGAUGGUUACUGUACU
rnacentral:misc_RNA from 1 species